rnacentral:misc_RNA from 1 species
GAUGAAGAACGUAGCGAAAUGCGAUAAGUAAUGUGAAUUGCAGAAUUCAGUGAAUCAUCGAAUCUUUGAACGCACAUUGCGCCCGCCAGUAUUCUGGCGGACAUGCCUGUUCGAGCGUCAUUACAACCCUCAGGCCCCCGGGCCUGGCGUUGGGGAUCGGCGGAGCCCCCCGUGGGCACACGCCGUCCCCCAAAUGCAGUGGCGGUCCCGCCGCAGCUUCCAUCGCGUAGUAGCUAACACCUCGCGACUGGAGAGCGGCGCGGCCACGCCGUAAAACACCCAACUCUUCUGAAGUUGACCUCGAAUCAGGUAGGAAUACCCGCUGAACUUAAGCAUAUCAAUAAGCGGAGGA